UUUUUAGGCAAGAUGUGGUGGGAAAUAAUCCCCGGUUUGGCCAUUAUUUGUGGAUGUGUAACUGCUGUAGGUGGCCUUACUAUAACUGUACAGAAAUUGCAGCAUGGCGGAAAGGCAAGGAGAACAGCCUACACACGAUUCGACUACACAAUGAUCAUGAGAGAUAAGAAAAUUGCAGGCAAAUACUGGAAAGCAAAGGGACUCGAGUCAUUAGCCGGUGUGAAUGUAAAGUAGACACCUCCAGUAUGCUGUUUGCAAUUCCUCUCCUUCAUCUGCAAUGCUUUGCCAGGAGACCUGCCCAACAGAACAUUAAAAUAUCUACCAGAUCUGAGACAUCCUUUUAUGCAGUGGAUUGACAAUUCAACAUGCCUAUGGGAAAUGAUGGUUCAUCAUCAUGGAGUCACUUUAUCUGACAUAAAUCAUUUUACUUCCUUCAUUGAUAUUUUGUGAGCUUAUGGAGCUAUGUAAUAUGCCCAGUUGUCCAUCCUUAAUUAACAUCAGGUACUUUCAAAAGAACAAUUUGAAGAAAAAAAAAAACACAUAAACAUCAAUAGUUUAGUCAACUUUAGUGUUGUACAUAUGAAUGUACCUGUAUUCUUAACCUGAAAGUGGGAUGUUCAUUGCAACCCUUUUGUUUUUGAAAAUAAAUUCCAUUAUUUCCAUAUAUAUAAUUUAGUCUCUUUUAUCAAGAGAAAAUGGUUUAGUACAGAAAUUUAUCAUUAAGCUUAUAAUUUUUGCAAUUCCCAUAUUGAUUUGUGUCAUUACAUGUAAUUUGAGGUUAACUCAAUGGAAAUUCUGCUGUAUAGCUGUAAAAUUGUGUGAAACAGUGAGAAAAGGAAUCAACCCUUAAUUCUACCAAAGGAUACACUCAAUUUCUAAAGAGCCAUAUCUCGCAGAUUCUGUUAAUGUGGCAGGGUACUUGCAUGUGCACUGUGCAAGCUGGAAUCUCAGCGACUGCUGUGAUUCAUGUACAUGUACUUUAUGGCAAAUACAUGUUUAUGUACAUACCACCAACAGUUUGUUUACAUGAGCAUGAUGUACAUGUACUCUAACAUCAUCUGUUUGGAACCAGAAGGGCAUUUACUCUGUAUAAAAUAAUACAAGUUAACACCCUACUGGCUCCAAACAUAUGGUAUGUCAUUCACGUUAUUCAUGGAAGAGGAUAUUAUUGAUGUGGGUUCAUACACUAGCAAGUGCAUUUGUGGUGAAACAUUUUCCUUGUGUAAUAUAUGAUGCAUAUUUGAUAUGGACACUUUCUCUGCUUUGAUCAAGAAAAAGAGAGUGUAUGAUAUUGAUGUGGCCAAUAAAAAUAUAGUUAUUGAAAUAUA
rnacentral:lncRNA from 1 species